CGCACAUUGCGCCCGCUGGAAUUCCAGCGGGCAUGCCUGUUCGAGCGUCAUUUCAACCCUCAAGCCUGGCUUGGUGUUGGGGCACUACCUGUUCACAGCGGGUAGGCCCUGAAAUUUAGUGGCAGGCUCGCUAAGACUCUGAGCGUAGUAGUUUUUAUCACCUCGCUUUGGAAGGAUUAGCAGUGCUCUUGCCGUAAAACCCCCCUCUUCUUCUGAAAUUUUGACCUCGGAUCAGGUAGGAAUACCCGCUGAACUUAA
rnacentral:misc_RNA from 1 species